AUAAAUGGAAAAAAAACACCCUGGAUUAGGGAGUGUUGCCAACCAAAUCGAUAAGCAACACUUGAGCGUAUUCUCUGCAGGAGAUUAUAAUGUAGGUAAACAUGUCUAUUGCUCUUGAAUAUCAUUGGACUAAAGAGGAAGGACUCAUCAUGAAUGCACUUUCUUUUGCCUCCGAAAAAGCUACCCUCUGAGCGUGGGGCGCUGGGCUCGGUCCAGUCUCAGGGCCACCAUUGCCUUCGCUGGGUCUCAGAGCAAGGGUGAGGUUGUGGGAGACAGCGGCAGAUCUCACAGAGCCCGGGAUCCUGGGUGUCUUCAGAAUGGGGUCCCACCAACGACGGGGAGGGCCUGGGGCAGCUGCUGUUCCCACAGGGCAUCCCCCAGGAUCCCCAGUCUCAGAGCCAUGAGAGCUCAGCUUGGACGGGUCUGAGAAGAGCACAAACCAUGGGCUCUCGGGCACUGAUACAGGAGGGCUGGAUGUGGCUGAGUGUCCCAGUGACCCCAAGGCCGUCCUUGCUUUGUGACAUGGAGACUGAGGAGCUGGGUCUGUCCCCAUUGCAUCCCCCUUCCUUUCCCUGAGGAAGAGACACAGGACCUACCUGCCCCCUCACCUGUCACAGGGGCAAUGCUAAGCUUUAGGAGCUUGCCCCUGAAUGUCACCCUCCAUGGGCACCCAGGGAGGCUCUGGUCCCCGCGUCUCCUGUCCCUCCUAGCGACACCGGCCUGGUUCCUGGUGUGGCCUGAGACUGUCCGCAGACACUCAGCAAAUGCCAGAAAGGCAGAUUCCAAGGCCCCAGGAGGGCAGUUGAGCUCCAGGAAGCCGCUUGGCCUCAUCCAGCAAGAUAGAAAGACAGGUCCCCUGGGGUUUUCCCGUCUGGACUCGCAUGAAAUGAUGGGUGUGCCCUGGGCUCCAAGGCCCUUCUUGUGACACACAGGACAGGUGAGAGGAACAAUUUAAUUGCUCUGGGUUCCCAAGGCUGCGGCCAACCCGGUCACUUUAUAAGGAGCGAAGCACGGCUCCCUCAGUCAGCGGCUCAGCUCCUGGCUCACCAUGAGGCUCCAACUUCUCCUGCUUGCGUUCCUCUUCGUGUUCCUGUUGCCUGUCCCAGGUUUUGCUCGGUUUAGAGUUACUACUUGCAAUGAUAAAGGUGGAAUCUGCAGGGCAUUUCGUUGCUCUGGAGGUAGAAAACCAAUAGGCAACUACUGUCACUUGCCAGGAAUCAAAUGCUGCAGAAUAUAGCAAUUGGAGAUAAAGAGGAUGCUGUCACUGAUGAUGCAUCGAAGUGUGUCCUUCACAAAGAUGUGACAUUUAAAUAAAAUUAAAUCACAUUAGACUCAGAA